rnacentral:rRNA from 1 species
UGGCGGACGGGUGAGUAACGCGUGGGGAACCUGCCCUGUACAGGGGAUAACACUUAGAAAUAGGUGCUAAUACCGCAUAAGCGCACAGUAUCGCAUGAUACAGUGUGAAAAACUCCGGUGGUACAGGAUGGACCCGCGUCUGAUUAGCUGGUUGGCGGGGUAACGGCCCACCAAGGCGACGAUCAGUAGCCGGCCUGAGAGGGUGAACGGCCACAUUGGGACUGAGACACGGCCCAAACUCCUACGGGAGGCAGCAG